ensembl:snoRNA SNORA70 Small nucleolar RNA SNORA70
CUGCAGCCAAUUAAGCAGACCUUGCUGCCAUCCCCAUGGUGCCCCGUGUGCAGUGGCUGCAAACAGCAGCCUCCUUGGUAGUGUAUGCAGCCUGUUGCUUGUGCAGGCUGCCCUAAGGGACCCUGGAGACAGCC